rnacentral:rRNA from 1 species
UCAAGCUAGAAAGAGCAUAGGGUGAAUGCCUUGGCACUAGGAGCCGACGAAGGACGUAGCGAUCUGCGAUAAGCCAUGGUUAGCCGAAAGCAGGCUUAGACCCAUGGAUUUCCGAAUGGGGAAACCCACCUGGCUGAUAAACCAGGUAUCCAUCACUGAAUUCAUAGGUGAUGAGAAGGUAUACCCGGGGAACUGAAACAUCUAAGUACCCGGAGGAAGAGAAAGAAACAUCGAUUUCCUAAGUAGCGGCGAGCGAACGGGAAAGAGCCCAAACCGUAUUAGUUUACUAAUGCGGGGUUGUGGACCGGAGAAAGGUUAGAUAUUGCUAGUCGAACAAACUGGAAAGUUAGACCAAAGAAGGUGACAGUCCUGUAGACGAAAGCGAUAGACAACUGUCCGGUAUCCAGAGUACCACGGGACACGUGAAACCCUGUGGGAAGCAGGGGGGACCACCCCCCAAGGCUAAAUACUCCCUAGUGACCGAUAGAGAACAAGUACCGUGAGGGAAAGGUGAAAAGCACCCCGGGAGGGGAGUGAAAGAGAACCUGAAACCCUAUGUUUACAAUCUGUGGAAGCACGUUAAAGUGCGACCGCGUACUUUUUGUAGAACGGACCGGCGAGUUACAAUCAUGAUGCAAGGUUAAGGACUAAAGGUCUGAAGCCGAAGGGAAACCGAGUCUUAACAGGGCGCCUAAGUAUCAGGUUGUAGACCCGAAACCAGGUGACCUAUCCAUGGACAGGAUGAAACGAAAGUAAAAUUUCGCGGAGGUCCGAACCCACCAGUGUUGAAAAACUGGGGGAUGAUCUGUGGAUAGCGGUGAAAUGCCAAUCGAACCUGGAGAUAGCUGGUUCUCCUCGAAAUAGCUUUAGGGCUAGCCUCGGAGGAAGAGUCAUGGAGGUAGAGCACUGAAUGGGCUAGGGGGCCAACAAGCUUACCGAACCCUAUCAAACUCCGAAUGCCAUAGACUUGCUUUCCGGGAGUCAGACUAUGUGAGAUAAGUUUCAUAGUCAAAAGGGAAACAGCCCAGAUCAUCAGCUAAGGUCCCAAAGUACAGGUUAAGUGGAAAAGGAUGUGGGAUUGCACAGACAACCAGGAUGUUGGCUUAGAAGCAGCCACACAUUUAAAGAGUGCGUAAUAGCUCACUGGUCGAGUGGUCCUGCGCCGAAAAUGUCCGGGGCUCAAACCUGUCACCGAAGCUAUGGGUUAUCAUAGGAUUACUGAUAUUCUUAGGACAUUUAGUCAAUGUAUCAAUAAGCAAGCUAAAAGAUAUUGACUAAAUGUUAUAUGAAGUGAAAACCUAAUACCAUCAAGAAGUAUUAGGACAUUUCGUCAAAACCGACCUAAAAAGUAUAAUUAGAGGUUUUGACACAAAUAGCCCUAGGGAUCAAACCUAGAGGUGGUGCUAUGAGUGAUAGUAUGAGAAUGCAUACUAGAAGGCAGUGCUAUGAGUGAUAGUAUGAGAAUGCAUACUAGGGUAAAUAGCAUUAAGGAUAUCAGUAAUCCUAUGAUAGCGGUAGAGGAGCAUCGUAUACUGGCAGAAGCCAUACCGAGAGGAGUGGUGGACGGUAUACGAGAGAGAAUGCCGGUAUGAGUAGCGAGAGCGAAGUGAGAAUCUUUGCCGUCGAAAGCCUAAGGUUUCCUGAGGAAGGUUCGUCCGCUCAGGGUAAGUCGGGGCCUAAGCCGAGAGCGAAAGCUGUAGGCGAUGGACAAUCGGUUGAAAUUCCGAUACCACCUAAUAUCCGCUUGAGAGAAGCAGUGACACAGAAGGAUAGAUGAAGCGAGUUGUUGGUAGAGCUCGUUUAAGCAGUUAGUCUGGGGAGUGAGUGAAGUACCACUUUCUAAGGAUGAGCUGUGAUGAGGACCGAAAUUAAAGUAGGGAAGUCAUUGAAUCCACACUGGCGAGAAAAGCUGCUAUCGAGGAUAUAGGUGCCCGUACCGCAAACCGACACAGGUAGGCGAGGAGAGAAUCCUAAGACGAUCGGGAGAACCCUUGUUAAGGAACUCUGCAAAAUGACCCCGUAACUUUGGGAGAAGGGGUGCCUGGGUAACCAGGCCGCAGCGAAUAGGCCCAAACGACUGUUUAGCAAAAACAUAGGUCUCUGCUAACUCGAGAGAGGAAGUAUAGGGGCUGACGCCUGCCCAGUGCUGGAAGGUUAAGGGGAAGAGUUAGGAGCAAUCCGAAGCUUAGAACCGAAGCCCCAGUGAACGGCGGCCGUAACUAUAACGGUCCUAAGGUAGCGAAAUUCCUUGUCGGGUAAGUUCCGACCCGCACGAAAGGCGUAACGAUUUGGGCGCUGUCUCAA